AUGCAAGAGAACCCGGGCAGCAUGAUUUUGGCAGGAGAAAGGAGGAUUAUCAUUUCUAGAGGUGAGUUGAGUUGCGGCUUGGUUGGAGAUGUUGGUGCGGUUCAAGAGGCCCGCUGGGUUCACCCUUUUCAAGGUUCUAAACCAAGGCAAGCUCAACAAGGUCGAGGUGAUUGCUCGCCGCCACCUCAGCUCCUGGUGUGGUUUGGAUUACUUGCGUUUAAUCUGAUCUCUACCUGUUUCAUGGACCGACAGAACUUUGUGUUCAUCUUUGUUUGUAGGAUCUAUGGAAGGAGUUCACGACUCGGACUCGACGAGAAAGUUUUGUGCUUCAUUUUUUUAUGGCAAAAUAACUUCUCUUUUUGA
rnacentral:rRNA from 1 species